UGUAUCGUCUAAUACUUUGUUAAUAAAUAAAUUAUUGUUUUUCAAUCUCAGAUUUAUUUACUAUUAGUUACUUAUUUUUUAGACAAUUUAGAUAACGCUUGUAAGUAAAUUUUGUUUUUAGAUUUAAAAAAUUUAAUAUGCAAUAUAUAUGUAAAAUCUAAUUUGAAUAUAUAGUUUGUGUAUAUGAAGCACAAACUUGAAAAUUGUAUUAUUACUAAUUUUUUUUAUAAAUAGGUUUAUAAUUAUUGUUAUUCUUUAGUUAAACCUUCAUCAAGUCCCUUAAUGAUUGUCCCAGCUACAACUACAGAUAUCGUUAAUUUGCUAUUCAGGCUUGAAACUCAAAAAUAUAUAUAAUUUCAAUAUGUCAUUAUGGUUUACCUAAUAAUUUUAAUUGUUAUCUUUAGCUGUAUCUCCAGAUUCCAAUACUGUUGUUGCUUCAACUUCUAACAUAGCAGGCUCUUCAGUUGACAAUUCUGGUAAGUAUUAAGAUUAUCUGGAUAAUCUUGAUGACUUUUCUAGAAAAAUGGUAGUUCAGUAGUUUAUUCAGGCAGCACAUAAAAAACGAAUAAAAACUCGACAGCACAUAAAAAACGAAUAAAAACAUACUGAAAUUAGAGCUAAGAUUUCUAAAAGACAGACUAUAAAAGACAGACUAUAAAAGACACUAUAAAACGCCAAAAAAUUGAUGAAAAAGAAAAAAAAAAGUUAGAGCAACAAUUAACAUUAUUAACUAUCAGUGAAAUUCUGAAUUUGUUUAAAAACUCAUCUACUAAGCAAAUUGAUGAUUUAAAUGAUGUUAUGAGUGAAAGAAUUGUUGGGAGAAAACUUUGCCAUGAAUGGUAUGAUUUAGUGAUGUACCGAUAUCACUUUUUUGGCCGAUGCCGAUACCCAUGCCGAUGAAUGGGAACAGGCCGAUGCCGAUACCGAUGAAUUAACUAAUUAUUAAAAAUUUAAAAAUAUAAAA